UGAUGGGUGGCUCAGUGGUUAGAGCCUAGGGCUUCGGACCGUUAGGUCCCGGGUUAGAAUCUCGCAAGAGGCAG
rnacentral:tRNA from 1 species